rnacentral:rRNA from 1 species
GAUGAACGCUGGCGGCGUGCCUAAUACAUGCAAGUCGAGCGAACAGACGAGGAGCUUGCUCCUCUGACGUUAGCGGCGGACGGGUGAGUAACACGUGGAUAACCUACCUAUAAGACUGGGAUAACUUCGGGAAACCGGAGCUAAUACCGGAUAAUAUAUUGAACCGCAUGGUUCAAUAGUGAAAGACGGUUUUGCUGUCACUUAUAGAUGGAUCCGCGCCGCAUUAGCUAGUUGGUAAGGUAACGGCUUACCAAGGCAACGAUGCGUAGCCGACCUGAGAGGGUGAUCGGCAACACUGGAACUGAGACACGGUCCAGACUCCUACGGGAGGCAGCAGUAGGGAAUCUUCAGCAAUGGGCGAAAGCAUGACGGAGCAACGCCGCGUGAGUGAUGAAGGUCUUCGGAUCGUAAAACUCUGUUAUUAGGGAAGAACAAAUGUGUAAGUAACUAUGCACGUCUUGACGGUACCUAAUCAGAAAGCCACGGCUAACUACGUG